rnacentral:tRNA from 1 species
AAAAAUUUAGUUAAUAUAUAACAUUAACUUGUCAAGUUAAAUUAAUUAAAAUUAAUAAUUUUUA